rnacentral:tRNA from 1 species
UCCCUGGUGGUCCAGUGGUUAAGACUCUGUACUCCCAAUGCAGAGGGCCUGAAUUCAAUCUUUGGUCAGGGGA